rnacentral:rRNA from 1 species
AUUGAACGCUGGCGGCAUGCCUUACACAUGCAAGUCGAACGGCAGCACGGGUGCUUGCACCUGGUGGCGAGUGGCGAACGGGUGAGUAAUACAUCGGAACAUGUCCUGUAGUGGGGGAUAGCCCGGCGAAAGCCGGAUUAAUACCGCAUACGAUCUACGGAUGAAAGCGGGGGACCUUCGGGCCUCGCGCUAUAGGGUUGGCCGAUAGCUGAUUAGCUAGUUGGUGGGGUAAAGGCCUACCAAGGCGACGAUCAGUAGCUGGUCUGAGAGGACGACCAGCCACACUGGGACUGAGACACGGCCCAGACUCCUACGGGAGGCAGCAGUGGGGAAUUUUGGACAAUGGGCGAAAGCCUGAUCCAGCAAUGCCGCGUGUGUGAAGAAGGCCUUCGGGUUGUAAAGCACUUUUGCCCGGAAAGAAAUCCUUGGCUCUAAUACAGUCGGGGGAUGACGGUACCGGAAGAAUAAGCACCGGCUAACUACGUG